rnacentral:pre_miRNA from 1 species
UCUUAUGGAUGAGCAAAGGAAGUGGUUUCCUGAGAUAAGAUCUACUUCUGGUGAAGAUGUCGUGAA